AGAGUUUGAUCAUGGCUCAGAGCGAACGCUGGCGGCGUGCUUAACACAUGCAAGUCGAAUGCGCAGCAUUCUGUAGCAAUACAGGAUGUAGGCGCAUGGCGAACGGGUGCGUAACACGUGGGCAACCUUCCCUUCGGUGGGGGAUACCCCCGCGAAAGCGGGACUAAUACCGCAUAACACUCCCUGGGUUAGUUCUCGGGGUUUCAAAGCAGCAAUGCGCCGGAAGAGGGGCCCGCGGCCGAUUAGCUAGUUGGUGAGGUAACGGCUCACCAAGGCUAAGAUCGGUAGCCGGUCUGAGAGGAUGAUCAGCCACACUGGGACUGAGACACGGCCCAGACUCCUACGGGAGGCAGCAGUGGGGAAUAUUGGACAAUGGGCGAAAGCCUGAUCCAGCCAUGCCGCGUGAGUGAUGAAGGCCCUAGGGUUGUAAAGCUCUUUCAACGGUGAAGAUAAUGACGGUACCGCAAGAAUAAGCCCCGGCUAACUUCGUGCCAGCCGCCGCGGUAAUUC
rnacentral:rRNA from 1 species